GUGGUCGUCGCUCUAUGGCGUUGAAAGAAUUGAGAAGAUGGAAUUGGGAAGGGAGAGACUAAGUCAAAAAAAAUUAGAUUUUUUUAUUGAGGAAUAAUUAGGGAGGAGGAAAUCAGUGCGCUUGGGGUAUCAAAUUGGGUGCUGGUAGGUGGCGAGAUGGUUGGAGACGACUGCUUCGUUUCCUUCAUUUAUUGUUUGAAAACGAAUAAGUUAUUGGGCGGCUUCUUAUUUCUCCCCAUCAAAAAAUGAGAUGAGAAAAAGCUUCGUGGCGGCGCCGGGAAGUCAAAGAGCUGCUGCUGCCCAAAGUCUGCUUCUCGGAAAUUCAAAUUUAUAUGCAUACUAGUACGGCCAUUCGUGGGAUGCACGACGAAUAUCGNUUUUAUCUAUAAUAAUAAAAAAAAAAAGUUCAGAAUUAAGGCACAGAGCUAACUUUGGGCUGGGUCUUAGUCAGAAUGAUGAAGGGCCCGAAUGUCUACAUUGGGGUGAUAACUCUAGUAAUAAUAUUAAAAUUUCUAACUAAGGGGGUGUUUGGCUGAGCUUAUAAGCUCGUGAGAAGUGUUUGGUAAAAUAAGCUCUUAAACAGCUUAUAAGGCAAAACGUAAAGCAGGCUGUUUACAUGUGCUUAUACGAAAUAUACCCUGCUGAAUUAGUCCGGGCAUGCAUGGGACUCGGUACUAUUCUGGGUGAGUUAAUGCUUGCUGCCCGUCAAGGUACCAUCGCCCCAAUCCCUUGCUAUUUUUUUUUUUUCUUGUGUGAAAAGACACUGCCAGCUGUCUUGGUCUCUUGCAGGGUAUGAGGCUGGAUUUUAGUGGAACCAUGGAAGUUGGAACUGUGGACUUACUAUCUGAGGACAAGUGUUGAGCAACAAAUUACAGGUCCAGCACAGCAUGCGUUGGAGGACGACCUUGAGUUUAUUCCGGUGCGAAGUUAAAACCGAAGCAGCACACCUUGGGAUCCCAAAUGCAUGCUUACUUAGAAUCACUUAGAGUAUAUGGUUGCGAUUAUACGCUUAGUUUGAGUUUGAGCUAGUACUUAGGACUACUCUUUGGACUCCCUAUGUGUUUUUAAGUCCACUCACGCCCCUGCCCUCGAUACUUUUCUUCAUUGCGGCUGUUCUCCCCCUCGGGUAGGCCCGAGUGUUUGUUUGUAAUUUACUUCGUUUUUUCUUUUUCUAUCUAUUUAAUUAUAUUUUUUCAAUAAAAAAAAAGCUCCCGAAAACAUAAGUUGAUCAACCCCAACUUAUUUUUUCAUAAUCCUGUAAGCAACAAUUAUUUUAUAAAAACAACUCUAUAAUGGUUUUGGUUUGUUAUUUUUAUUUUUUGAUACUACUCUUCUAUAGAAGGAUCAAUAAUGGUUUGUUAUAGAAGGAUCAUUUCCUUCCAUGGUGACUCGAACCCGAAUCAAAUGGCCGGAGGGGAAGCAUCUUACCAAUUGAGCUACGCUUCGUUGUCUAUUAGGGAUUGUUAUUUCCAUCAUAUACCCUUCCAAUCUCAUCCCUCUUCAAUUUUCUCUCUCUAACUAGGAUUUUCUCUCUCCAAUUCACAAUUCUCUCUCUAGCUAAUAAACUCAAUUAUCCAACCAUUUUAACAACUUAUAAGCUUAUGAGACAUUACAUAUUAUAAGUUCUUCAAAAACAUCUUAUCAGUUGUUGGAGCUUAUAAGCUAAGCCAAACACCCUCUAAAUACAUUUCAAUGCAAAAAGGCAGAUUGGGAUGGUGUGCUGCCGAAAAGAAAAUAGUGGCACCAAAGAAAUGAAGACGGUGUAGAAUCACAAUCUUCUGAAUCUUGGUAAAAAAAUUCUUAUUUCAGAUCAGCAAGCAAUGAUUUCCCAUUGAAAAGAUAAUGUAGCAUUACAAAGAUAAUCAGUUACGUAAAGUCCAGUAAGAGUUCAGUAAAAUCAUGCAGUUAAGUUCAGCGAGAUUAAUUACAACCAUUCAGUAAAGUUAAUCAAAAUUAGAUCAGAAAGCACGAGCAGUUAAGUGAAGUGAGUAUGCACAUGCCAGAAAAAGCAGAAAAUGUUCCUUGCUCACCUUGCUAGAGCAGCAGGAUCCCAAGACGACGGCACUGCUUGUUUCACAUGAUCUCGGAGUGCUACUUGGGUCUUUUCUAAUGCAAUGCUAUAGAGGCUAAUGAACACCCCAUCAAAUGCAAGAGAUUUUGUGAAGGCAGCAUCUUUCUGCCAACAACCAGUGAACUCGAACGCCGCAUUGAAAUGGCCUAUGGGAAUUUUACCUGAAAGUGAUAAUUCCUGGUUGAACUGUUCCGACAUCUAGAAAAAGCGAAGAAGAAUCAUUACCACUUGACUCAAAAUCCAUCCACUUCUCCAAAUUAAUCUUCCAAUGAAUACAUUACAAUUAAACACCUUAAACAUUCAACCACACCAAGGGGGUGUUUGGUGAGCUUAUAAGUUCCUUAAAACAACUUACAAUAAGCUUCGCUAAACACCCCCCAAAAUCGCAGCUGCCACACGCACAAUUCAGCUUUUCGACAAACACAAGAGAUCAAAUUUCACUCUUCAAAGAAGCACAUAACCUUUCAAACGUAAAUCAAACAAUCUCCCUAAACUCGAAUUGCAGAUCAAAAAAGUACCUGCUGGAACGAAAGAACAUCAGGCUGAAGCGCACGCGCUCGCCUUUAUCACAUUAAUAGACUUGGGCACAUUCUGCACCAAGGUACCGCCGGGAAUGGCGAUAUCUCUGACCUGACCGUCGUCGAUGGCGAUCAGCUCUGCUGCUUCUUCAGUACUUCAAUCGAGGUCCAGAGUCAAUCGUAGCCCAAGCCUAUACACUGCACCGCUUCCUCCGCCGCGGCCCUCAGCCUCAGUGCUAUUUCCUUCCUACUGCUGUUGCCGCUGCUCCCACCUCCACCAUUAUUCGCCAUAGCGGAUCAAAACAAUGAAAAUCAAUUCCUGAAAUUGUUAAUCAGGAGCAGAGUCAUGGAGGGAUUGGGUGGUCGUCGCUCUAUGGCGUUGAAAGAAUUGAGAAGAUGGAAUUGGGAAGGGAGAGACUAAGUCAAAAAAAUUAGAUUUUUUUAUUGAGGAAUAAUUAGGGAGGAGGAAAUCAGUGCGCUUGGGGUAUCAAAUUGGGUGCUGGUAGGUGGCGAGAUGGUUGGAGACGACUGCUUCGUUUCCUUCAUUUAUUGUUUGAAAACGAAUAAGUUAUUGGGCGGCUUCUUAUUUCUCCCCAUCAAAAAUGAGAUGAGAAAAAGCUUCGUGGCGGCGCCGGGAAGUCAAAGAGCUCCUGCUGCCC
rnacentral:lncRNA from 1 species